AGUGAACGCUGGCGGUAGGCCUAACACAUGCAAGUCGAACGGCAGCACAGUAAGAGCUUGCUCUUACGGGUGGCGAGUGGCGGACGGGUGAGGAAUACAUCGGAAUCUACUUUUUCGUGGGGGAUAACGUAGGGAAACUUACGCUAAUACCGCAUACGACCUACGGGUGAAAGCAGGGGAUCUUCGGACCUUGCGCGAUUGAAUGAGCCGAUGUCGGAUUAGCUAGUUGGCGGGGUAAAGGCCCACCAAGGCGACGAUCCGUAGCUGGUCUGAGAGGAUGAUCGCCCAAACGGAACUUGGGAAACGGUCCAGCUCCUUAGGGAAGGCAGAGUGGGGAAAUUUUGGCAAUGGGGGGAAGCCUUGUUCCAGCAAACCGGCGGGGGUGAAGAAGCCUUUCGGGUUGUAAAGCCCUUUUGUGGGGAAAAAAAGCAGCCGGGUUAAUACCCGCCUGUCUGGCCGUAACCAAAAGAAAAGGCACGGCCUACUUCGUG
rnacentral:rRNA from 1 species